UGCCCUACGGGAGGCUGCAGUGGGGAAUAUUGGACAAUGGGCGCAAGCCUGAUCCAGCCAUGCCGCGUGAGUGAUGAAGGCCCUAGGGUUGUAAAGCUCUUUCACCGGUGAAGAUAAUGACGGUAACCGGAGAAGAAGCCCCGGCUAACUUCGUGCCAGCAGCCGCGGUAAUACGAAGGGGGCUAGCGUUGUUCGGAAUUACUGGGCGUAAAGCGCACGUAGGCGGAUAUUUAAGUGAGGGGUGAAAUCCCAGGGCUCAACCCUGGAACUGCCUUUCAUACUGGGUAUCUCGAGUUCGAGAGAGGUGAGUGGAAUUGCGAGUGUAGAGGUGAAAUUCGUAGAUAUUCGCAGGAACACCAGUGGCGAAGGCGGCUCACUGGCUCGAUACUGACGCUGAGGUGCGAAAGCGUGGGGAGCAAACAGGAUUAGAUACCCCUGUAGUC
rnacentral:rRNA from 1 species